rnacentral:rRNA from 1 species
AUGAACGCUAGCUACAGGCUUAACACAUGCAAGUCGAGGGGCAGCAUCAUCAAAGCUUGCUUUGAUGGAUGGCGACCGGCGCACGGGUGAGUAACACGUAUCCAACCUGCCGACAACACUGGGAUAGCCUUUCGAAAGAAAGAUUAAUACCGGAUGGCAUAAUUAUUCCGCAUGGGAUAAUUAUUAAAGAAUUUCGGUUGUCGAUGGGGAUGCGUUCCAUUAGGCAGUUGGCGGGGUAACGGCCCACCAAACCUACGAUGGAUAGGGGUUCUGAGAGGAAGGUCCCCCACAUUGGAACUGAGACACGGUCCAAACUCCUACGGGAGGCAGCAGUGAGGAAUAUUGGUCAAUGGACGAGAGUCUGAACCAGCCAAGUAGCGUGAAGGAUGACUGCCCUAUGGGUUGUAAACUUCUUUUAUACGGGAAUAAAGUGAGCCACGUGUGGCUUUUUGUAUGUACCGUAUGAAUAAGGAUCGGCUAACUCCGUGCCAGCAGCCGCGGUAAUACGGAGGAUUCGAGCGUUAUCCGGAUUUAUUGGGUUUAAAGGGAGCGUAGGCGGGUUGUUAAGUCAGUUGUGAAAGUUUGCGGCUCAACCGUAAAAUUGCAGUUGAUACUGGCGACCUUGAGUGCAACAGAGGUAGGCGGAAUUCGUGGUGUAGCGGUGAAAUGCUUAGAUAUCACGAAGAACUCCGAUUGCGAAGGCAGCUUACUGGAUUGUAACUGACGCUGAUGCUCGAAAGUGUGGGUAUCAAACAGGAUUAGAUACCCUGGUAGUCCACACAGUAAACGAUGAAUACUCGCUGUUGGCGAUAUACGGUCAGCGGCCAAGCGAAAGCAUUAAGUAUUCCACCUGGGGAGUACGCCGGCAACGGUAAAACUCAAAGGAAUUGACGGGGGCCCGCACAAGCGGAGGAACAUGUGGUUUAAUUCGAUGAUACGCGAGGAACCUUACCCGGGCUUAAAUUGCAACUGACGGAACCGGAAACGGUUCUUUCUUCGGACAGUUGUGAAGGUGCUGCAUGGUUGUCGUCAGCUCGUGCCGUGAGGUGUCGGCUUAAGUGCCAUAACGAGCGCAACCCUUACGGGUAGUUACCAUCAGGUUAUGCUGGGGACUCUACCCGGACUGCCGUCGUAAGAUGUGAGGAAGGUGGGGAUGACGUCAAAUCAGCACGGCCCUUACGUCCGGGGCUACACACGUGUUACAAUGGGGGGUACAGAAGGCAGCUACACGGCGACGUGGUGCUAAUCCCAAAAGCCUCUCUCAGUUCGGAUUGGAGUCUGCAACCCGACUCCAUGAAGCUGGAUUCGCUAGUAAUCGCGCAUCAGCCACGGCGCGGUGAAUGCGUUCCCGGGCCUUGUACACACCGCCCGUCAAGCCAUGAAAGCCGGGGGUACCUGAAGUACGUAACCGCGAGGAGCGUCCUAGGGUAAAACUGGUGAUUGGGGCU